rnacentral:misc_RNA from 1 species
AACGCACAUUGCGCCCGCCAGCACUCUGGCGGGCAUGCCUGUUCGAGCGUCAUUUCAACCAUCAAGCCCCAGGCUUGCGUUGGAGCACUGCGGCUGCCGCAGCCUCCUAAAAGCAGUGGCGGGCUCGCUAUCAUACCGAGUGCAGUAGAUUACUCUUCGCUCAGGGCGUGUGGCGGGUUCCAGCCGUGAAAACCCCUACUUCUUAAGGUUGACCUCGGAUCAGGUAGGAAUACCCGCUGAACUUAA